rnacentral:lncRNA from 1 species
UACUAGCGUUGAAGUGAGUUAACUAUGUCCUUAAAUAGUAGAGAGGAGCCCAAGUUGUAAAGCUCAGAACUAAACUUCCUCAAAGUUUGGAGGGAGAGCUGGUCAAAAACUGGAAUUUCAAUUUCACAGCAAAAUCUACCUUUGCUGGUUUUUUGGUGGGUUUGAGUUUUUUGUUUUGUUGUUCUGAAUUGGAAUAAAAAGCUAACCUUUCAAAGCUUCCUGUGAAACAAAAGUUCCAAAAUAAUUUAAAUUCAGGACAGCUGAAUCAUUUUGUUUCAAUAAUUUUUAAUUGUAUCAUUGACACUGUUGAAAUGUAUUUUUUCAAUAAUGUUGAAAUGCUUUGUUCUAUAUUUAAUAUAUUAUAAAAGUUAAAACUUAAUUAAAACCAGAAGGUUGAAACAAAACAUUUUACCUUAUCUAAAUGAACCAUUUAGACUUUUUUCCCCAUUAAAAAUGUCAUUGAAAUCAACACAUUCGUGUGAAACAUUUUGAUUUUGAUGAAACUGCAUCUAUCGAUGGAAAACUCUUCAGUUGAAAAUUUUUUAAGCUAGCUUUCUGUGAAGGUGUUAGUACACACAGGUUUGGGUUCAGCCCAGCAUAGAGAGACUAUUCAGUCACAAAUCUUGGAUCUAGAUUCAAACUUCUUCAAGGUUUGGGGUGAUCAGACUCCAGGGUUUUGGUUCAGACCCAUCUCAGCUAAAUAGUAGAAUUAGGUGAAAUGCUCAAGUUUCUGUUUAUGGAGUUUCCUUUAGCAUUGUUCCAAUUGUGGGAGGGAGGAGGGGAGAUUUGCACACCCUGAGAGUCUCUCUGAGUUUGAGAGUCAAAUGAACCCUGACAAACCUUGAAAUUGAAUCCCAUUGAGUCUUAACUGGUUUUGUGUUAAAACGAUGCAUAACCAGCUUCACAUGUGAAACCGUAAAUCUGUCUAGAUUCACUUUAAACUGAGCCUAAAUUCAUUGUAUGGGGGCAAAGACUUUAGCAAAUCUACUAAUGAAUACACUGGAAUUUAUAUCAGAACCUAGAACUUUCAUCACAAAACCUGCAACCACAUUCCUCAGAAAGUUGCACACAGUUCAGCUAGUUUACUGAAUAUCUCCCUUCUCCAGUUAUCAUGUACUGAAACACAACUUGCCCUGUCUACACUAAGACUUUAAAAUGUGUUAACCAUCCUGUUUUUAAACCACACCAUUUAUCCUAGUCUAGACAGAGCUAUAGACCAAGCAAGAGAACUCCAGCCCAGCCUGGGAUGUAUCUGUGACUGCCACU